UGGAGCAUUUGAAUUAAUGGCAUGAGCCACC
rnacentral:piRNA from 1 species